rnacentral:rRNA from 1 species
AAAUGAAGAUUAAUACUCCAUAAUAUUGGGAAGUGGCAUCACUAUCUAAUUAAACAUUUAUGGGUACAAGAUGACUAUGCGUCCUAUUAGCUAGAUGGUAAGGUAACGGCUUACCAUGGCAACGAUAGGUAGGGGGUCUGAGAGGAUUAUCCCCCACACUGGUACUGAGACACGGACCAGACUCCUACGGGAGGCAGCAGUGAGGAAUAUUGGUCAAUGGAGGCAACUCUGAACCAGCCAUGCCGCGUGCAGGAAGACUGCCCUAUGGGUUGUAAACUGCUUUUAUACAGGAAGAAACAGUCGUACGUGUACGGCCUUGACGGUACUGUAAGAAUAAGCACCGGCUAACUCCGUGCCAGCAGCCGCGGUAAUACGGAGGGUGCAAGCGUUAUCCGGAAUCAUUGGGUUUAAAGGGUCCGCAGGCGGUCAAUUAAGUCAGAGGUGAAAUCCCAUAGCUUAACUAUGGAACUGCCUUUGAUACUGGUUGACUUGAGUUAUACGGAAGUAGAUAGAAUAAGUAGUGUAGCGGUGAAAUGCAUAGAUAUUACUUAGAAUACCGAUUGCGAAGGCAGUCUACUACGUAUAUACUGACGCUCAUGGACGAAAGCGUGGGGAGCGAACAGGAUUA